UACGUAGGUGGCAAGCGUUAUCCGGAUUUAUUGGGCGUAAAGGGAACGCAGGCGGUCUUUUAAGUCUGAUGUGAAAGCCUUCGGCAUAACCGGAGUAGUGCAUUGGGAACUGGGAGACUUGAGUGCAGAAGAGGAGAGUGGAACUCCAUGUGUAGCGGUGAAAUGCGUAGAUAUAUGGAAGAACACCAGUGGCGAAAGCGGCUCUCUGGUCUGUAACUGACGCUGAGGUUCGAAAGCGUGGGUAGCAAACAGG
rnacentral:rRNA from 1 species